rnacentral:lncRNA from 1 species
CAGCAACACUUCAACUCUGCCCUGCUUCUCCUGGAGAAAUAUGGAAACCUCUGUGACAGCUUUACACCAAGAUUCUCUGAUGCCUACUCUCAAGUCAGCUGUUGUCUGCUGUCUCCAGAAGAAAAUUAGUUCCUCUUGCUAUUCAGGUGGAUUUGCUGCUACCAAUUUCUUUGACGACACACUGUGAACAGUGAAUUAGUGCUUUACAGGAGAAGCAAGUGGAAAAG